AAGACUCUACAUUCAGGGAUCAUUUCUACUGCUUGUCAUUGGAGAAGUUUCUCUUAACAUGUGCAGUACUGGAAACCACAAAGAGGAUGUGCAGGGUGCUUUCGAGAAUGUGAAGCUCAUUCUGGGGUGUUGCUUCUGCAGCUGCCCUUUGCCACUGAUGAUCUUUCUUCCCUCUUUUGGAAGAGCAAGAGGAUAGAUAAACCAUUUGAGUGUGGA
ensembl:snoRNA U3 Small nucleolar RNA U3